AUCGUUUCAUACCUGAUCCUGUACAUGUUACCUGCCUGUUCCUGCCCGUCCGUCUGUCUGCUCCUGUUCCCGGAGUCCCUGUGUCCCCUGAGGCCAGAUGAGGUGAGCAAGGGGCUCUGAGUCCAGAGGCAUAUGUGCGAGGCAAGGCCUUUUGACGUCUAUUCCAGGAAAACUCACCUGUCCUGGUUUGGCAUCUUCACAUAUCGAGGCUUCGUACGGUGUGGCCAGCUCAGGAGGAUUGUCAUUUACGUCCAGAAUCCGAAUACUCACUGCUGAGUGGGACGCCAUGGUGUGGUUUUCUACAGGAGAGAUGAAAAGAAAUUGGAUCAACAACAUUUGUCUAGACAUGUCUUAAUAGUGUGAAGAGCUUCGGAAGAGAUGUGUCUUAGCUGCUAUGUGCUAGUUUUUGCACAGGAAACCAGUGCAGACGAGAAGUUGCAGGAGUCCAUGGGCAAAACCCUUAAUGCUCUUCUAGUCUGCCUUCAGUAUGAGUGAGACAACACUGAGAUGGAUGCAAUUUCCCACAAGAAAGCAGACAUUUGGUUUGGAAUUGUGGCUAAGUGCUGAAGGGUUUUAAUCUAAUGCUUCGACAAAUUGCACCCAUUACCUGAAAAACACUUUGUGGCACCAUUGAGCGACAUGAAAAUGGUACCAGAGAUCCCAUGUUUGUCUCU